rnacentral:rRNA from 1 species
UACGGAGGGGGCGAGCGUUGUCCGAAGUUACUGGGCGUACAGCGCGCGUAGGCGGGUUGGUAAGUCCGCUGUGAAAGCCCGGAGCUCAACUCCGGAGGGUCGGUGGAUACUGCCAGUCUUGAAGGUGCUAGGGGGAGAUGGAAUUACCGGUGUAGCGGUGAAAUGCGUAGAUAUCGGUAGGAACACCAGUGGCGAAGGCGGUCUCCUGGGGCAUUCUUGACGCUGAGGCGCGAAAGCUGGGGGAGCGAACGGG